GCUACGGUGGCCCAGUAGUUAGAGCGUCCGCCUCGGAUGCGGAAGGUCGUGGGUUCGAUCCCAGACGAUUCAUACCA